CCCAGUGGUAGUCAGCUGUCUGGGUCAUUUUCCAUGCCUUUGACAGCGUUACACUACUGGGAGAUAAAAGGACCGUCUCGGGGUCUGCCAGUGCCUGUCUCUGUUCCGGAGACGGUCCUGGGCUUCUUAGCAAGUGUGCUGAGCAAAACAGACCCGGUCAGCACAAGUUUGGAAGCAAACACA